AUACUUACCUGGCAGGGGAGAUACCAUAAUCACAGGCGUGGUUUUCCCAGGGCGAAGCUUAUCCAUUACACUCUGGAUGUGUGGACCUCUGCGAUUUCCCCAAAUGUGGGAAACUCAACUGCAUAAUUCAUGGUAGUAGGGCCUGCGUUGGUGCUCUCCAGG